UGCCUUUUUCUCUCGUCUCUCCGAUUCAUCCUCUCAAAACAAUAUCAUUGUGGAACGAGGACAUUAGUGGAGACUGGAGAGAGGGUUGAAUAUUGAACUGGGGUGAAUCUGAUCAGAGCUAAAAUCCCUCAGGAACAAAAGAGAAGAUUAAAACAGAAGCGAACAGAAGCAAUGGAGGGACAGCAAAAGGCCUACUGCCUGAAGGAAAUUACACAGACCCUUUAUGAAAUAUAAAAAGCACGGUUGCAAUUGAAAGAGAACACUGGAAAUUAUCAGACCAAAAGGGGAGGACACAUCAGUUCACCUGACAGAAGACGGACUCCAAAGGUUAAACUGCUAAUUGUAUGUGUAUUUUACAUUUACUGUACUUUUCACAGCAUUUGUCAAUAAUAACAUCUGGAAAUACUCUGGAUACAUUCAGUAACAUAAUAAGAAUAGUCAUCGCAAGUUUGGGGUCGGUGAAACAUAAGAAAGAAUUAUUGCAAGGGUUUGAAUGAGAGGCGUAGCUGGUGUCUUCAAGUGGACACACACACCUCUCCAAACUGUGCACAGUUCUCAAGGAAAGAGCCUUCAACAAUAAGGUGCUUUUUUGACCUCUCCUGGCUUUGCUGUUAAGGAACUAAAGCAAGCACACGUUUUGUGUGGAACACAGCCCUGCAUCCACGCCAUCACACAAUUACGGUUAUUGUUUACGCAAUGAAAAAAAGAUAUAUUAUGAAUUGCAAUUUUGGUCAGGUGGGCAUCAUUCGAAUUUUUAUUCUACUGCCAACAUGACUACCUGAGGCACUUCAGACAGACAUAUUGUAACUGUGGUGUGUAUAGAAUAGAGUCCUGAGUGCAUUCACGUGCAUGUUCCACAGCUAAUUUUCUUCACAAAAUGACAAACAUAGGCUCACCCUGUUCAGGACAACUCAAAUAUGGACAUUUGAAGUGCACAUUUGGACUGGGUGUAUGGUUUGCUUGUAUGACAUCAACGCAGUAUUUUUACUAUCAUCCUCAAAGUCUCAUCUGUCAGAACCCAUCGAUUCCUCUCGAUUUACAGCGACAUUUGUUGCGCGUAGUCCACACGUUUAGAACGGCUGUCAGUUGAAUCCCAUACAACACUGUAAAGUGAAGAGCUCUGACAUCAUAUAUAGUACGUUACUGUACAGCCACUGAGUUCCAAUUAUGGUGCAUAUCAGUGAUCAAAUCUGCAAUGUUCAACCUUUAUAUGGGAUGACAGGGGCUGUGAUUGUAAAAUGAUACAAUAAAUAGCUUUCCGAGACGUUCAUAUUAAAUACCUGCUGUUAAAGGUCUUGAUAGGACUGGAGAGGAGAGGCUGACACUCAUAUAAAGGAUGGUUUCUGCAAUAAGCCAGUAUCAGGCCACAACGAAUAUUGGUAUCACCAGUCAACAUCAUUAAAUAACUAACCUUCCACUGGUCACACACUGGUUGAAUCAACUUUGUUUCCCCGUCAUUUCAAUGACGUUAUGUUGAACCAACAUUAGACGUUGAAUUUAUGUCUUUUCCAAGUGGCCUAUAGAUAAAAUGUUAUUUUACUCUACUCCUUUUUUUAAGAGAAAAGAAAAAGUGAAGUCCAGUGAGAAUAAAGUAUUCUACAGUAAAUGUUCGAUCUAUAACUCUUGACUUCUUGAAAAGGUGAACUAGCUUCCCUCCAAAAGCUUACAGCUCUGUCGUCCUAUCCCAUUUCAUCCAGGACAUAUCCCCAACCUCUCAGUAGCUCAUAAUUCCUUUACACUGCCACACUGUAUAAAAUCACGGGGCAUGCAUGCACAGACCUUCCUCACACAGCCCCUCUGCUCCGUGUUAACACCCAUCAUUAUUAAUCUAAUCAAUUAUAGAGUCAUUUGACGAGCUAAAGGCUAAGCAAAUGUUAUAGAGAGUAAGCCUGCACUACACAUCACGCUUCCCAAUUAGAAAUUGACAAAUUAUCCUUCUGUCAGGACCAUUUGAAUUCUGGUGAGCGUGAUGAUGUAAAAGUAUUGAGCAUUCAAUAGGACAAAACUCUGUUCAGUAACUAGGCUUAAUUAUGGUUUUCUGAUACAACAGGGUUCGGAUCCCUCAGGAGCGAACUGCCCUGUCUUGACGUCUUGUACAUGGAGAAAAUGCUAAAUCCUUCGCCAUAAUCGCUGAGCUUUGAUUGCAUUUUACCCCAGCCUGGUCUCAUAGACAAGAAGUACCUUAUGGCUUGGGGGUAGAAGCUGUCAAGAAGUCUUUUGGAACUAGACUUGGUGCUCCGGGUACCGCUUGCCAUCCGGUAGCAGAGAGAAGAGUCUAUGACUAGGGUGGCUGGAGUCUUCAACAAUUUUCAGGGCCUUCCUCUGACACCGCCUGGUAUAGAGGUCCUGGAUGGCUGGAAACUUGGCCCCAGUGAUGUUAAAGUUCAUAUAAGGUAAAAAGAUAUGCAUCUGUUGGUCUCAGAUACCUUAGGGGUGUGGUUCAGGUAGGGGCGUGGUUCAGAAAACCAGUCAGUGUCUGGAAUGACCAUAAUUUGCAUCAUGCAGCAUGAUACAUCUCUUUCGCAUAGAGUUGAGAAGGCUGAUUGUGACUAGACAUCCCCAGGUACUUCAUCUAAUAGAAAGGACACAGUGCUCUAUCUCCAACUCUACGCUAACCAAAGAGUAAAGAUAAUUAGCAAUGAUCUAACAAGGAGGGGAAGAUGCAGAUUCGAUUUUCCAUGGCAUAGUUCAAUUAUAUAAUUUUAUAAUGAGGGAUACCUGGAGAAAAUUGAAUCUCUCUGAAAUGAAAAUGAUUGGCCCUCCCUUCAGUAAAAUAUAUUUUUACUGACCCUCCCUGAACUUUUGAAAAAAAACUAUUGACCAUCCCCUAUACCCAAAAGAAUAAAUAAAACAUAAAGUGGAUAGCAGAGAAAAUGUGUACCAUUUACCCUCACUCCUACAGUAGGACAAAUCAGAGCCUUUAAUAUGAAGUUUUUGCCAUGUAAUGCUAGAUUUUGCAAGAGUUACAUGGCAAAGUAGCCAGAAGGUAGUGGAUUCACAGGCCACCGUGGACAAUGGUGAAAAUAUAUCCAUUAUAAUAAAAGCACUGCUGAAUCUAUCAUCUUAUUUAGCCUUUUAUAAACCCAUUUCAUACAAUUCUAUGUCAUGACUGGAGACAAGCAGAAUAUUUUUCAUUACAACAGAGCAUGACAACGAAUGAGCACAUGCUGUAGUACCAAAAACAUUUUGAUUUCUAUACAGGCUUAAAAAUGAGGAUAAUCUAAGUUUGGAACAGUGCUAAAGUUGUCUAUCAACUGUAAAAAAAAAAAAUUAAAAAAAAAACAGAACCAGUUGCAACUGAAGUAUCUGAUCAUCAGUGAAUUUGAGAAAAAGCCAUUCAUUGGUUAAGUUCGUGAUCGGUGUCCCUUCCACGGGACUGUUGAGCUAACGCAGGCGAAUGCGAUAAGCAUGAGGUUGUAAGAAACAAGAACAUUUCCCAGGACAUAGACAUAUCUGAUAUUGGCAGAAAGUUUAAAUUCUUGUCCAAAAUUCUUGUCCACAGUCCAAUUUACAGUAGCUACUACAGUGAAAGAAUACCAUGUUAUUGUUUGAGGAUUGUGCACAAUUUUGAACAUGAAAGUUAUUAAAUUAGGCACAUUUGGGCAGUCUUGAUACAACAUUUUGAACAUAAAUGCAAUGGUUCAUUGGAUCAGUCUAAAACUUUGCACGUACACUGAUUUUGGCCAUCUAGUGGCCAAAAUCUAAAUUGCACCUGGGCUGGAAUAAUACAUUAUGGUCUUUCUCUUGCAUUUCAAAGAUGAUGGUACAAAAAAAUACAAACGACAGUUGGUUUUUUCUUUGUAUUAUAUUUUACCAGAUCUAUUGUGUUAUAUUCUACUACAUUCCUUGGCACGGUGCUUUUGAAUUCACUUUUAGAAACACAAGUUUGGCCUAUCAAGGCUUUUUUCCCCCAUUAUUAUUUAAGGAGUGCAUGGUGACUGAAGGAAUUGGCUGACAACAUCUAUGGAUAGUAGACUAUAAUUUUGUCUGUCACAAGAUAGGCAUACCUUAAAUUUAUUGACUAGGGAAAAAUAGGCUCCAACACAAAGCACUGUUGUUGUUAGUAGCCUAGAAUCAAAUUAAAAUGAAAACUUUAAAUGAAUUAGGUCUUCUCGAAUUAGCCUACCUUCAGCACCCAUGCGCUGUCCGUCUUCUUGCCAUUUCAUAGUAAUGUAUGUGAUGUACUCGAAUAUGGUUAUUGUGAGAUCAAUAACUUUCCCCAUCUGUCAUCCUCAGCAGAUCUAUGGUGAGAAACAUCUUGGUUCCCAGUGCAAAAACCCUGUGCAGGAUAUUACAAGGUUGCUUCAGACCGUUCUAUGACAGAUGCCAGUAGCUGACGCUGUGGUAGUCCAUGUGGGGUUAAACGUCAUCAGAAGGGCUGGCUUGGAACUUCUGAAAAUGUAUUUUAAAGAACUGAUUCUAGCACUGAAAGAUUCCAAAAAGCGGCCAAUCAUUUCAGGUCGGUUACCAUCGUUGGGCCGCGGGUGUGAAAGUUUCAGCAGGCUACUGGCAUUACACACCUGGGUAAAAGACUACUGUAGCUCUGUUGGAAUCACUUUUAUAGAUACGUUUGACACCUUCUGGAAACAGAAGAUACUCUACAGGAAUGACAGAGUCCAUCCAAAUCAUUGUGGUUCCUGGACUUAUCAAUGACCCCAAGACCAGCUCAGCUUAAUCCCUACCAUUGUGAAACUAAGUUGUCAUAAUACUGCAUCAAAAGUACAUUAUCCCAGGGGUGUUGGCAGACACAAUUUCUGCCUGCUCUGACUCUGGUCCCUGCCCCCAGUCCAACGUCUCCUUAUCCUCCUACUCUGCCCUGGAUUCCCCACAUUACUGAUCCCUUGAAUUCCCCUCCGGACCUGCUUACCCUGUCCCAACACCUCUCGCUCCAGCCUCAGCCUCCGCACCUGGUUUCCUGCAACCCGCCCGAGCUUCCCCUGGCCUGCACUACAUCUUCCCUGUGUUUCAAUAAAUACCUUGGUUAC